rnacentral:rRNA from 1 species
CAGUCGCCGCGGGAAUACAGAGGGUGCGAGCGUUAAUCGGAUUUACUGGGCGUAAAGCGUGCGUAGGCGGCUUUUUAAGUCGGAUGUGAAAUCCCUGAGCUUAACUUAGGAAUUGCAUUCGAUACUGGGAAGCUAGAGUAUGGGAGAGGAUGGUAGAAUUCCAGGUGUAGCGGUGAAAUGCGUAGAGAUCUGGAGGAAUACCGAUGGCGAAGGCAGCCAUCUGGCCUAAUACUGACGCUGAGGUACGAAAGCAUGGGGAGCAAACAGGAUUAGAUACCCCCGUAGUCCCUGUCUCUUAUAC